GACGAACGCUGGCGGCGCGCUUAACACAUGCAAGUCGAACGGAAAGGCCUGCUUUCCCUUGUGGAUUGCGGGUACUCGAGUGGCUAACGGGUGAGUAACACGUGAGUGAUCUGCCCCCAACUUGGGUAUAAGCCUGUGAAACUGGGUCUAAUUCCCGAUAGGACUGCAGGGUGGUGCCUGUGGUGGAAAACGAUUUUCUAGUGGUUGGGGAUGAGCUCGCGGCCUAUCAGCUUGUUGGUGGGGUAAUGGCCUACCAAGGCGGCGACGGGUAGCCAGACUGAGAGGGUGGACGGCGACAUUGGGACUGGGAUACGGCCCAGACGCCUACGGGAGGCAGCAGUGGGGAAUAUUGGACAAUGGGCGGAAGCCUGAUGCAGCGACGGCGCGUGGGGGAUGACGGCCUUCGGGUUGUAAACUCCUUUCGACCGCGAGGAAGCCACCUGGUUGGAAGGGUGGUGACGGUAGUGGUAGAAGAAGCACCGGCUAACUACGUG
rnacentral:rRNA from 1 species